rnacentral:rRNA from 1 species
UACGGGGGGGCAAGCGUUGUUCGGAAUUACUGGGCGUAAAGGGCUCGUAGGCGGCCAACUAAGUCCGACGUGAAAUCCCCAGGCUUAACCUGGGAACUGCGUCGGAUACUGGAUGGCUUGAAUUCGGGAGAGGGAUGCAGAAUUCCAGGUGUAGCGGUGAAAUGCGUAGAUAUCUGGAGGAACACCGAUGGCGAAGGCAGGUCUCUGGGCCGCAACUGACGCUGAGGAGCGAAAGCAUGGGGAGCGAACAGG